rnacentral:rRNA from 1 species
ACGCACGCUGGCGGCGUGCCUAAUACAUGCAAGUUGAGCGCUGAAGGUUGGUACUUGUACCAACUGGAUGAGCAGCGAACGGGUGAGUAACGCGUGGGGAAUCUGCCUUUGAGCGGGGGACAACAUUUGGAAACGAAUGCUAAUACCGCAUAAAAACUUUAAACACAAGUUUUAAGUUUGAAAGAUGCAAUUGCAUCACUCAAAGAUGAUCCCGCGUUGUAUUAGCUAGUUGGUGAGGUAAAGGCUCACCAAGGCGAUGAUACAUAGCCGACCUGAGAGGGUGAUCGGCCACAUUGGGACUGAGACACGGCCCAAACUCCUACGGGAGGCAGCAGUAGGGAAUCUUCGGCAAUGGACGAAAGUCUGACCGAGCAACGCCGCGUGAGUGAAGAAGGUUUUCGGAUCGUAAAACUCUGUUGGUAGAGAAGGACGUUGGUGAGAGUGGAAAGCUCAUCAAGUGACGGUAACUACCCAGAAAGGGACGGCUAACUACGUG